CCGCCAAUAGGGAAGCGGCCAAGGGACGAGGCCACGCCCCCCUGGCCGGCCCGCCGGGGAGCCCCGCUCCGGCAGGGGGCGCCAUUUUGUGCCUCCCACCCCUCCGCCAGGGGGCGCCAUUUUGUGCCGCCCCGCCGAGGGGCGCUGUCGGUCCUGUGGGGGCUGCAGCCCCGCUGGGCGCUGUGGGGUGCCCAGAUCCUGCAGUUCCUUCGGCUUUUGUUUGGGGGGCUGAGGGAGAGCAAGACGCAGCCAGGACCGAAGGACCCUCAGCCCUUCCUGGGCUGUCACCGAUGGCACAGCCUGCCUUGCAGAGCGGCUCCGGGCUCCUUGGACAGCCUCGGGGCUGCUUUGACUCACACCUGCUUGCCCCAAGGCUCCUUGGUGCAUCCUAGUCCCCUUGGGCUCCAUCUGAGGAGAACCCUCGAAGGCUUGAAGGCAAAACAAGCAAAAACAAGCCAUGGGCCUCAGAGAUGAUGUGAGUAGGGCCUGAGGUUUGCACUAGAAAUCACUCAUGCUUGUGGGAAAGACAGAGAACUCUUGCAGACAAUGGAGAAAAAUAUUUGUGCAGCUUACGGAGAGACAUCCAGGGGGACUGAACUGUUGCUGGAAGGAACCUCUGACUCCAGCUUGCCUCAUCAGUUUGGGAAGCGGCCAUCUGUCUCCAGGCUGCCAUUAGGAAACAAUCUUUGGUGCACGCUGUCCCAAGCCAUGCCCGUUGGAGGGGCCUCCCGUGUAACUUCAUCAGAGUUCACAGACCUCCCCCCAUGUCCCAUGAACUUGGAAAGCUUGUUCCCCUCCAUGCUGGCACGAGGACUGCUGGUAUUGCAGAGCCUCUUGGCAAAGGUUCUCUGCUGCUCAUGGGGGAUUGGAAAGCUGGAACACCACCUUGGAGUAAAGAGACAGGUGUCAUUGGAAAAAAAAUAAAUAAAGCUUUUUGUUCUCAGUGCCUGUGUUCAUCUGAAUGGAAAAUCCAGGCGAGGAUCUCCAGAGCCCACGGUUCACAAUGACAGCUCUCCUGGUUUCUAAUUUUGGAACAAAGUACUCCUCACCACUGCUUUUCCUAAACACCCCCGGUACAUUUUCAGAGCAUGAUUUCAUAGGAUCUAACAGAAGGAGGGACUGUGAAGACACACAUACAGAAUCUCAGAAGGAGCAACAUCUGUGUAAGUAAAAUGUACAAGCCUUUAUUAUCAAGGUAAACUACAGAGUGGAAGCAACGAGCACUCUUUUAGAAAGCACUGGCUUGAGCGUGCGACCGGAUUUGUAUGCUCCUACAGGGAAAUAUAAAGGAAAUAAAACUGUCCUCCGGUGAUGUGACA
rnacentral:lncRNA from 1 species